UACGAAGGGGGCGAGCGUUGUUCGGACUUACUGGGCGUAAAGGGCGCGUAGGCGGCCGAGCAAGUUAGAUGUGAAAGUCCUGGGCUUAACCUGGGAACUGCAUCCGAUACUGGAUGGCUUGAAUCCGGGAGAGGGAUGCAGAAUUCCAGGUGUAGCGGUGAAAUGCGUAGAUAUCUGGAGGAAUACCGGUGGCGAAGGCGGCAUCCUGGACCGGCAUUGACGCUGAUGAGCGAAAGCUAGGGGAGCAAACGGG
rnacentral:rRNA from 1 species